GAGGGGAGUGUGCAGAGGAGAGACUCGCAAAACCGCAGCUGCACUUGCCAGCCACUAGCCUGGCGUCUGGUGUCUGUUGGUCAGCUGAGCGGCACUCCUGCUGUGGGAGUGCACUGACCACCAGGGGGCAGCUCCUGCUUUGAGUGUCUGCCCCCUGGUGGUCA